rnacentral:rRNA from 1 species
AUUGAACGCUGGCGGCAGGCCUAACACAUGCAAGUCGAGCGGUAGAGAGAAGCUUGCUUCUCUUGAGAGCGGCGGACGGGUGAGUAAUGCCUAGGAAUCUGCCUGGUAGUGGGGGAUAACGUUCGGAAACGGACGCUAAUACCGCAUACGUCCUACGGGAGAAAGCAGGGGACCUUCGGGCCUUGCGCUAUCAGAUGAGCCUAGGUCGGAUUAGCUAGUUGGUGAGGUAAUGGCUCACCAAGGCGACGAUCCGUAACUGGUCUGAGAGGAUGAGCAGUCAAACUGGAACUGAGACACGGUCCAGACUCCUACGGGAGGCAGCAGUGGGGAAUAUUGGACAAUGGGCGAAAGCCUGAUCCAGCCAUGCCGCGUGUGUGAAGAAGGUCUUCGGAUUGUAAAGCACUUUAAGUUGGGAGGAAGGGUUGUAGAUUAAUACUCUGCAAUUUUGACGUUACCGACAGAAUAAGCACCGGCUAACUCUGUGCCAGCAGCCGCCGUAA